GCGGACGGGUGCGUAACGCGUAGAUAACCUGCCUUCAGGCGCGGGACAACCUCGGGAAACCGUGGCUAAUACCGCACGACGUCCAGACCCCGCAUGGGGACUGGAUGAAAGCCUUCGGGUGCCUGAAGAUGGGUCUGCGUCGGAUUAGCUUGUUGGUGAGGUAACGGCUCACCAAGGUAACGAUCCGUAGCUGGUCUGAGAGGAUGAUCAGCCACACUGGGACUGAGACACGGCCCAGACUCCUACGGGAGGCAGCAGUGGGGAAUCUUGCACAAUGGGGGAAACCCUGAUGCAGCCAUGCCGCGUGGAGGAAGACACCCCUAUGGGGCGUAAACUCCUUUUCUGCGCGAAGAAACCCCUCUUGUUGAGGGUGUGACGGUACCGCAGGAAUAAGGACCGGCUAACUCCGUGCCAGCAGCCGCGGUAAUACGGAGGGUCCAAGCGUUGUCCGGAAUCACUGGGCGUAAAGGGUGUGCAGGUGGGGCAGCAAGUCAGAGGUGAAAGCCCGCGGCUUAACCGCGGAAGUGCCUUUGAAAC
rnacentral:rRNA from 1 species